GGACUACAGGGGUUUCUAAUCCUGUUUGAUCCCCACGCUUUCGUGCAUCAGCGUCAAUUAUCGUUUAGAUAGCUGCCUUCGCAAUCGGUGUUCUGAGACAUAUCUAUGCAUUUCACCGCUACUUGUCUCAUUCCGCCAUCUUCAGCGACAUUCAAGCCCAUCAGUAUCAAGAGCACUGCGACAGUUGAGCUGCCGUCUUUCACUCCUGACUUAAUGGGCCGCCUACGCACCCUUUAAACCCAAUAAAUCCGGAUAACGCUUGGAUCCUCCGUAUUACCGCGGCGGCUGGCAC
rnacentral:rRNA from 2 species